UCGUGCAUCGGGCCUCUAGUAUACUAAAAUUGGAAUUAUACAGAGGAGAUUAGCAUGACCCCUGUGCAAGGAUGACACGCAAAUUCAUGAAGCAUUCCAUAUUAAA